UACAGUGGGGUGCAAACGUUGCUACGGAAUUAUUGGGCGUAAAGCGCACGUAGGCGGUUCGUUAAGUCGGAUGUGAAAGCCCUCGGCUCAACUGAGGAAGUGCACCCGAAACUGGCGAGCUUGAGUACGAAAGAGGAUCGCGGAAUUCCCGGUGUAGAGGUGAAAUUCGUAGAUAUCAGGAGGAACACCGGUGGCGAAGGCGGGUCUCUGGGCCGAUACUGACG
rnacentral:rRNA from 1 species